rnacentral:rRNA from 1 species
GACGUAGGGGGCCAGCGUUGUUCGGAAUUACUGGGUGUAAAGGGUUCGUAGGCGGUGUGGCAAGUCGGGAGUGAAAUCUCUGGGCUCAACCUCAGAGACUGCUUCCGAAACUGCUGUGCUUGAGUGUGGGAGAGGCGCGUGGAAUUGCAGGUGUAGCGGUGAAAUGCGUAGAUAUCUGCAGGAACACCCGUGGCGAAAGCGGCGCGCUGGACCACUACUGACGCUGAGGAACGAAAGCUAGGGGAGCAAACAGG